rnacentral:rRNA from 1 species
GCGUCUAUAUACGUAUAGCAUAUCAAUAAGCGGAGGAAAAGAAACUAACAAGGAUUCCCCUAGUAACGGCGAGUGAAGCGGGAAGAGCUCAAAUUUGAAAUCUUAAAGGGUUUCCCUUUACGAAUUGUAGUUUAAAGAAGUGUUUUCUGUUGGAGUUUCGGUAAAAGUUCUUUGGAAUAGGACAUCAUAGAGGGUGAGAAUCCCGUAUUUGACCGUUACUUUCCAGCUGUGUGAUACACUUUCAAAGAGUCGGAUUGUUUGGGAAUGCAGUCCAAAAUGGGUGGUAAAUUUCAUCUAAAGCUAAAUAUUGGCGAGAGACCGAUAGCGAACAAGUACCGUGAGGGAAAGAUGAAAAGAACUUUGAAAAGAGAGUUAAACAGUACGUGAAAUUGUCAAAAGGGAAGCGUUUGACACCAGUGUUGUUUAGUUGAAAAUCAAUUCAAUAAUUUUUGAUUUUAAGUAGUAUUGACUUCAUCAGCUUGCUGCUUUCUUUUCAGGAAUUAUUGAAUGCACUUUUCAGUUAACAAGUCAACAUCAAUUUCUUUUGUUGUAAAAGGGUAAGAGGAAGGUGGCUUACGUUUCGGCGUAAGUGUUUAUAGCCUUUUACCUCUGCAAUCGGAGAGAUUGAGGCCAGCAGCGUAGACUCCUUCUGGGGUUAGAUACACUUGUGCUAAGCUAUAGCCUUGUAUAGACAACUUGUUGACUAUGCUCAGUCAUGUAGCUUACUCGCUUGUGCUAUUUUACCUACGCUUAGGAUGUUGACACACGCGCGUGCUCG